rnacentral:rRNA from 1 species
UACGUAGGGCGCGAGCGUUGUCCGGAAUUAUUGGGCGUAAAGAGCUCGUAGGCGGUUUGUCGCGUCUGCUGUGAAAACUGGGGGCUCAACUCCCAGCCUGCAGUGGGUACGGGCAGACUAGAGUGCGGUAGGGGAGAUUGGAAUUCCUGGUGUAGCGGUGGAAUGCGCAGAUAUCCGGAAGAACACCGAUGGCGAAGGCAACCACCUGGGCCUGUACUGACGCUGAGGUACGAAAGCGUGGGGAGCAAACAGG